ACACUAACAAAAGGUGUGAGCCACUUAAGCAGAAGAUACAAUGUGAUAUUGGGAAUUUUUUUUUGAUAAUUAAAAAAUAAUAAUAAUAAUAAUAAUGAAACACGAUCAACGAAUUCGUUUACGACUCAAAAGUAACAAGCAAGAUCAAUCUGCGAAGAGAGAGAAUACAGACCUGCAAAAGGAGCGGCGGUGAGAAGGUGAGAGCAGAGAGAUCAAAGUGGCGGGUGGAUGCGGUGGCGAUGAGUGGAGGAGGUGGGUGGAUGCGCGCACUUUAAUCGGUUGCCGAUGCGUGGAUGGGGUCUGGUGGCGCAGCUCUGGUGGCGCGACUCUGGUGGGAUUUGGGAAUUGUGGGUGUGAAUUUAAUUAGGGAUUGUGGAUUGCGCGAGGGAGUUAGUAUAGGUUUUAAAUUAGGUUUCGUCGCCUAAGACAUUUAUUCGUGUCCUAAGUAAUACGAAAUUUCGGGAAAAAAAAGGCGCAAAAUUUACCCGCCUAAUAUUUUACGCACCUAGACGACGGAAAAUACAUUUUCUGUCGCAUUGGUUUACCAAGCCGACAACUUAUAUAAUUUCCGUCGCCUAAGUAACAUAAAUUUUUUAAAAUGUGACUAAUAUUUUGGGUAUCCUAAGCGACAAAAAGAACACUUUCCGUUGCCUUAGGAGUAUUAGGCGAUGAAUUAUUCAAAUUCCGUCGACUAAGUAUAUUAUUAAAAAUUUCCACAAUUUUAUUAUAUUUGCAUCUGAGCAUUUUCGUGUAACUUUUCAAACUAAACCCAAUUAUAACUCCGCGUAAGUAUUCGUACUUAAAAAAGCCACUACUACAAAAACGUUAUCAGACAACACUCAUCGGACAACCUUUUAGGGUUUCCUACUUGUCUGAUGAGGUGAACUGUUAUAUACAACGCAAAGUUACAAAGUUUUGUUGUCUGAUGACACGAAAUUGUCAGGUUAUAUUUCAAGAGUUCAAAACACAACAAUGAUGCUAAUUUUCUGUUGUAUGAUUUAUGAAAAUUUUGGCGGAAGGAUUCCCCCCAUCACCAAAUUGAAAGUCGCACAAGAUGCAAAAUGUUUGGACAAUAGACUUUUAUUUCUUUGUUGUAU
rnacentral:lncRNA from 1 species